GGAGGAAAAGAAACUAACAAGGAUUCCCCUAGUAACGGCGAGUGAAGCGGGAAGAGCUCAAAUUUGAAAUCUGGUGGCCUCAGGUCAUCCGAGUUGUAAUCUAUAGAAGUGUUUUCCGUGCUGGCUCAUGUACAAGUCCCUUGGAACAGGGCGUCAUAGAGGGUGAGAAUCCCGUCCUUGACAUGAACUACCAGUGCUCUGUGAUACAUUUUCAACGAGUCGAGUUGUUUGGGAAUGCAGCUCAAAAUGGGUGGUAAAUUCCAUCUAAAGCUAAAUAUUGGCGAGAGACCGAUAGCGAACAAGUACCGUGAGGGAAAGAUGAAAAGCACUUUGGAAAGAGAGUUAAACAGUAUGUGAAAUUGUUAAAAGGGAAACGAUUGAAGUCAGUCGUGCUCUUUGGAUUCAGCCGGUUCUGCCGGUGUACUUCCUUUGAGUGGGGUCAACAUCAGUUUUGAUCGCUGGAUAAAGGCUGGAGGAACGUAGCACCCUCGGGUGAACUUAUAGCCUCCUGUCACAUACAGUGGUUGGGACUGAGGAACGCAGCACGCCUUUAUGGCCGGGAUUCGU
rnacentral:rRNA from 1 species